rnacentral:rRNA from 1 species
AUGAUAUUUUUAUGUCAUUGCAAGGACUAUGGAGUACAGGCACAGCUGUCUAACUGGAACUAUUGUAAGCCACAGAGAAAGAAAAAAAUAUCUGAAUGGAUGAAGCUAAAUCAAAAUUGUCCUCUUUACAAAGUUUUGAUGGACAGUGUGUCGUCCCUAUCAAUGCUAUUAGUGAUUAUCUCUGAGAAUACGGAAGUGAUCUCCAUGCAUGUGCCGGUGCUACAGUCCACGCCAACUUGCCAAGCAAGGAACUCUGUGCCGGAUCUGGGGGAUUUGUGUCAGCUAUGUGACCAAUGGCAUGUGCAGCCAUAUGCAGCCUGA